ACUACUAGGAUGUGGCUACAAGUCGCUCAACUCUCAAGCUAAAAAUCAAGUUCUUACAAGUUCUUACCAUGCAAAACAGGAAGGUGAUGGCCAGCGGCGUGACCAAGCCCUCCGAAUAUUAAAUGUAUCGAUGCCUCGGUAACAAACCAACCUAGGUGUAGAAUCUGUGGAGCUUGGAGGCUUUUGUGAGUAGCAAGGAAUAGCAAAUAAUCAAAUCAGCAAUGCAAAGUUGAAAAUAUGCUCAAUAAUGCUAGUCCUAGCUGCU
rnacentral:lncRNA from 1 species